UCAGGGGUAGGGGAGCGUUGUAUGUAGGUUGAAGGUGUACCGUAAGGAGCGCUGGACAGCAUACAAGUGAGAAUGCCGGUAUGAGUAACGAAAAGAUCAGUGAGAAUCUGAUCCGCCGAAAGCCCAAGGUUUCCUGAGGAAGGCUCGUCCGCUCAGGGUAAGUCGGGACCUAAGGUGAGGCCGAAAGGCGUAAUCGAAGGACAACAGGUUGAAAUUCCUGUACCACCGUAAACCGUUAUGAACGAUGGGGUGACGCAGGAGGGUAGUGACGCGGACUGAUGGAUGUCCGUCCAAGCAGUGAGGCUGAUGUGUAGGCAAAUCCGCACAUCGAUAAGGCUGGGCUGUGAUGGGGAGUGAAAAUUACAGUAGCGAAGGUCAUGAUCUCACACUGCCAAGAAAAGCCUCUAGUCAGGUGAAGGUGCCCGUACCGCAAACCGACACAGGUAGGCGAGAAGAGAAUUCUAAGGCGCGCGGAAGAACUCUCGUUAAGGAACUCGGCAAAAUGACCCCGUAACUUCGGGAGAAGGGGUGCCUCGGUAGGGUGAAUAGCCCGAGGGGGCCGCAGUGAAAAGGCCCAAGCGACUGUUUAGCAAAAACACAGGUCUGUGCGAAGCCGUAAGGCGAAGUAUACGGGCUGACGCCUGCCCGGUGCUGGAAGGUUAAGGGGAGCGGUUAGGAGCAAUCCGAAGCUGUGAACCGAAGCCCCAGUAAACGGCGGCCGUAACUAUAACGGUCCUAAGGUAGCGAAAUUCCUUGUCAGGUAAAUUCUGACCCGCACGAAUGGCGUAACGACUUGGGCGCUGUCUCAACGAGAGAUCCGGUGAAAUUUUAAUACCUGUGAAGAUGCAGGUUACCCGCGACAAGACGGAAAGACCCCAUGGAGCUUUACUGCAGCUUGAUAUUGGAUUUGGGUACGAUCUGUACAGGAUAGGUGGGAGCCUUCGAAGCAUGAGCGCCAGCUUGUGUGGAGGCGACGUUGGGAUACCACCCUGAUCGUAUCUAGGUUCUAACUUGGCACCGUGAUCCGGUGCGAGGACAGUGUCAGGCGGGCAGUUUGACUGGGGCGGUCGCCUCCUAAAGAGUAACGGAGGCGCCCCAAGGUUCCCUCAGAAUGGUUGGAAAUCAUUCGAAGAGUGCAAAGGCAUAAGGGAGCUUGACUGCGAGACCUACAAGUCGAGCAGGGACGAAAGUCGGGCUUAGUGAUCCGGUGGUACCGCAUGGAAGGGCCAUCGCUCAACGGAUAAAAGCUACCCUGGGGAUAACAGGCUUAUCUCCCCCAAGAGUCCACAUCGACGGGGAGGUUUGGCACCUCGAUGUCGGCUCAUCGCAUCCUGGGGCUGAAGUAGGUCCCAAGGGUUGGGCUGUUCGCCCAUUAAAGCGGUACGCGAGCUGGGUUCAGAACGUCGUGAGACAGUUCGGUCCCUAUCUGUCGUGGGCGUAGGAAAUUUGAGAGGAGCUGUCCUUAGUACGAGAGGACCGGGAUGGACGUACCGCUGGUGCACCAGUUGUUCCGCCAGGAGCAUGGCUGGGUAGCUACGUACGGAAGGGAUAAGCGCUGAAAGCAUCUAAGCGUGAAGCCCCCCUCAAGAUGAGAUUUCCCAACUAGUAAGACCCCUUGAAGACGACGAGGUAGAUAGGUUGGAGGUGGAAGUGCAGCAAUGCAUGGAGCUGACCAAUACUAAUCGGUCGAGGGCUUAUCCAA
rnacentral:rRNA from 1 species